rnacentral:tRNA from 2 species
GGAGAGAUGGCCGAGUGGCUUAAGGCGCACGCUUGGAAAGCGUGUGUAGGGCAACCUACCGUGGGUUCGAAUCCCACUCUCUCCGCCA